CAAUAGAGUAGCAUGAUUUGGUUGAUGAAGAGGCCAUCCAAAAAGUGUUCUGGAACUAAGUGGCCAAGCCCAACUCCUGGAGAUGUGUAGUGAUGAACUCUGAAGCUACAUGAGGUUUGGAGGUGUGUAGUGAUGAUCUAAUCUGAAGCUACAUGAAGGUUGGAGAUGUGUAGUGAUGAACUCUGAAGCUACAUGAAGUUUGGAGAUGUGUAGUGAUGAACUCUGAAGCUACAUGAAGUUUGAAGGUGUGUAGUGAUGAACUCUGAAGCUACAUGAAGUUCGGAGGUGUGUAGUGAUGAACUCUGAAGCUACAUGAAGUUUAGAGGUGUGUAGUGAUGAACUCUGAAGCUACAUGAAGUUUAGAGGUGUGUAGUGAUGAACUCUGAAGCUACAUGAAGUUUGGAGGUGUGUAGUAUUGAACUCUGAAGCUACAUGAAGUUUGGAGGUGUGUAGUGAUGAGCUCUGAAGCUAAAUGAAGUUUGGAGGUGUGUAGUGAUGAACUCUGAAGCUACAUGAAGUUUGGAGGUGUGUAGUGAUGAACUCUGAAGCUACAUGAAGUUUGGAGGUGUGUAGUGAUGAUCUCUGAAGCUACAUGAAGUUUGGAGGUGUGUAGUGAUGAACUCUGAAGCUACAUGAAGUUUGGAGGUGUGUAGUGAUGAACUCUGAAGCUACAUGUAGUUUGGAGGUGUGUAGUGAUGAACUCUGAAGCUACAUGGAGUUUGGAGGUGUGUAGUGAUGAUCUCUGAAGCUACAUGAAGUUUGGAGGUGUGUAGUGAUGAACUCUGAAGCUACAUGAAGUUUGGAGGUGUGUAGUGAUGAACUCUGAAGCUACAUGAAGUUUGGAGGUGUGUAGUGAUGAACUCUGAAGCUACAUGAAGUUUGGAGGUGUGUAGUGAUGAACUCUGAAGCUACAUGAAGUUUGGAGGUGUGUAGUGAUGAACUCUGAAGCUACAUGAAGUUUGGAGGUGUGUAGUGAUGAACUCUGAA